UAACGGACAGCUGAAAUUCCAUAAGAGAAAGAAAUCAUUUUCCCGCAGUGACUUAGUAUCAGUUGUGCUUUCUCGUUUUAGAAAAAUCUGGGGCAUAAUCAGGUCCUAAGAGUCUUGCUUAGGAGAAGGUGACUCAUUUGGCACCCACUUGGACACCAGAGAGCACAUUUCACAACAGGCCCAGUCUAAAAACCAAACCUUCGUCUGCUUCCUAUAAAGAGAACAGCUGUUUUCACUCCAGCACCUACUCAUAACAAUGAGCUCUCGAGGGCUAUCUGAAUAUAUAUUCUAGAAGAAAUACAGUUCAAUAAGACUUUCCUGUUGCUCAGAGCUCAUGUUUAGCAGACUGCACUAAAAUAUCAAAUUUCUGAUCUGGUCAGGAGAUGCAACGUUUUCAAGGAAUCCUAUUUAUAGAACACUUCUAACUUUGAAGAGCUUUUAUUUUCAAUGCCCAGACACUGGCUUUAUAUUCAUCCUUGAAUUCUCAUAUUCUUUUAUUAUAUGCCUAUAUUAUGAUUGCAAGAUUAUAUAAAAAUGCCUUGAGAAAUUGAUUUCAGAUUUUGUGAUGGGAUCACAUGACUGAUACAGUGAAGCAGAUACUGUCAUAUGUGAAUUUAUCCUCACUUUGGUCACCAUCUGCAGCUACUUCCAAGGACACUGAGCAGGUAGAGUCACAGACAGUGAGAGAGACAGAGAGAAAGGUCCUCCAUCUGAUGGUUCAUCGCCCAAAUGGCUGCAACGGCCGGAGCUACACCAAUCUGAAGCCAGGAGCCUCCCGUGGGUCCCCCACGAAGGUGCAGGGGCACAAGGACCUGGGUCAUCCUCCACUGCCCUCAUAGGCCACAGCAGAGAGCUGGCCUAGAAAAGGAGCAACCGGGAAUAUAACCCGGUGCCCACAUGGGAUGCCGGCAACGCCAGCAGAGGAUUAACCUCGUGUGCCAUGACACCGGCCCCUAGAUAACCUUUAAAUGUUAUUUCCCUUUGAGGUGGCACAAAUCAGCAAGUAUUUACAAUUUUGUUUAUUCCCAAUUUUCUAAGGCUUUAAUUUUUAAGUUAUUAUAAUACCAUACAGUAUGACAAAAGAAUUUCAAGUCUGGAACUAACAGCCAAUGGAGUUUUAGGCCAUUCAUAUAGUAACCAUUGGAAAAUAAUUUAGGAAACUGUUGAAUAAAAUUUAGGAG